GUAGGGUGCGAGCGUUAUCCGGAAUUAUUGGGCGUAAAGAGCUCGUAGGCGGUUGUCGCGUCUGUCGUGAAAGUCCGGGGGCGUUAAACCCCCGGGAUCUGCGGUGGGUACGGGCAGACUAGAGUGCAGUAGGGGAGACUGGAAUUCCUGGUGUAGCGGUGGAAUGCGCAGAUAUCAGGAGGAACACCGAUGGCGAAGGCAGGUCUCUGGGCUGUAACUGACGCUGAGGAGCGAAAGCAUGGGGAGCGAACAGGAUUAGAUACCCUGGUAGUCCAUGCCGUAAACGUUGGGCACUAGGUGUGGGGACCAUUCCACGGUUUCCGCGCCGCAGCUAACGCAUUAAGUGCCCCGCCUGGGGAGUACGGCCGCAAGGCUA
rnacentral:rRNA from 1 species